ACAAAGGCUCUGUUCAUAGCCAUCAACAUUUUCUGUUAAUAGCUA
rfam:Macaca mulatta chromosome 4, whole genome shotgun sequence.